UUCGCAGAUAGCAAUAUUUGAGUGGCGCACGGGUGAGUAACACGUAGCUUACCUACCCUGAAGAGCGGGAUAACGUUCCGAAAGGAAUGCUAAUACCGCAUAAGCUCACGGUCUCUAGAGGGUUGUGAGAAAAUGGGGAAACUCGCUUCAGGAUGGGGCUGCGGCCCAUCAGCUGGUUGGUGAGGUAAAAGCUUACCAAGGCGACGACGGGUAGGGGACCUGAGAGGGUGACCCCCCACACUGGGACUGAGACACGGCCCAGACUCCUACGGGAGGCAGCAGUGAGGGAUAUUGCACAAUGGGCGCAAGCCUGAUGCAGCGACGCCGCGUGGAUGAAGAAGGCUUUCGGGUCGUAAAAUCCUUUUGCGCAUGACGAGGACAAGGACGGUAGUGCGCGAAUAAGUCUCGGCUAACUACGUGCCAGCAGCCGCGGUAAAACGUAGGAGACGAACGUUAUCCGGAGUUACUGGGCGUAAAGGGCGUGUAGGCGGUUGGAUAAGUUCGGCGUGAAAUUUCCCGGCUUAACCGGGGGAUGUCGUCGGAGACUGUCGGACUAGAGGGUGAUAGAGGCGUGUGGAAUUCCGGGUGUAGUGGUGAAAUGCGUAGAGAUCCGGAGGAACACCAGUGGCGGAAGGCGACACGCUGGGUCACACCUGACGCUAAAACGCGACAGCAUGGGGAGCAAACGGGAUUAGAAACCCCGGUAGUCCAUGCCGUAAACGAUGCCAACUCGGUGUCUGAUCCGGGAAAACCGGAUUGGGUACCCAAGC
rnacentral:rRNA from 1 species